rnacentral:rRNA from 1 species
GAUGAACGCUUGCUACAGGCUUAACACAUGCAAGUCGAGGGGUAACGAGAGGAAAGCUUGCUUUCCUUGUCGACGACCGGCGUACGGGUGAGUAACGCGUAUCCAACCUGCCCCCAACUAGGGAAUAACCUUGCGAAAGUAAGACUAAUACCCUAUAAUUUCCUCAGAUGACAUCUGACGAGGAAUAAAGAUUUAUCGGUUGUGGAUGGGGCUGCGUCUGAUUCGCUUGUUGGCGGGGUAACGGCACACCAAGGCAACGAUCAGUAGGGGUUCUGAGAGGAAGGUCCCCCACAUUGGAACUGAGACACGGUCCAAACUCCUACGGGAGGCAGCAGUGAGGAAUAUUGGUCAAUGGGCGGGAGCCUGAACCAGCCAAGUAGCGUGAAGGAUGAAGGUCCUAUGGAUUGUAAACUUCUUUUAUAAUAGAAUAAAGUGAUCCACGUGUGGAUUUUUGUAUGUAUACUAUGAAUAAGGAUCGGCUAACUCCGUGCCAGCCGCCGCCGUAA